rnacentral:rRNA from 1 species
UGGGGAAUAUUGGACAAUGGGCGAAAGCCUGAUCCAGCCAUGCCGCGUGUAGUGAAGAAGGUCUUCGGAUUGUAAAGCACUUUAAGUUGGGAGGAAGGGCAGUAAGUUAAUACCUUGCUGUUUUGACGUUACCGACAGAAUAAGCACCGGCUAACUGUGUGC